GUGUCAGCCGCCGCGGUAAUACGUAGGGUGCAAGCGUUAUCCGGAAUUAUUGGGCGUAAAGAGCUCGUAGGCGGUUCGUCGCGUCUGGUGUGAAAGUCCAUCGCUUAACGGUGGAUCUGCGCCGGGUACGGGCGGACUGGAGUGCGGUAGGGGAGACUGGAAUUCCCGGUGUAACGGUGGAAUGUGUAGAUAUCGGGAAGAACACCAAUGGCGAAGGCAGGUCUCUGGGCCGUUACUGACGCUGAGGAGCGAAAGCGUGGGGAGCGAACAGGAUUAGAUACCCUGGUAGUCCACGCCGUAAACGGUGGAUGCUGGAUGUGGGGCCCGUUCCACGGGUUCCGUGUCGGAGCUAACGCGUUAAGCAUCCCGCCUGGGGAGUACGGCCGCAAGGCUAAAACUUAAAUAAAUUGACGG
rnacentral:rRNA from 1 species